CUACAAUGGUCGGUACAACGAGUUGCGAGUCGGUGACGGCGAGCUAAUCUCUUAAAGCCAAUCUCAGUUCGGAUUGUAGGCUGCAACUCGCCUACAUGAAGUCGGAAUCGCUAGUAAUCGCGGAUCAGCACGCCGCGGUGAAUACGUUCCCGGGCCUU
rnacentral:rRNA from 1 species